GAUGGCAUUAAGUCAGACACGGGUGCUUGUUGGGUUUAUAAGAAACAGCAGAGCAACCUUUUGCAUGGUGCCUACAUUAUUUAUUAGCUUCUUAUCACGAUUGGAGGCAGUCUUGAUCUGAUGUCUUCUCAUGUCUUCCUCUAAAUUAAAAGCAGCUACAGUU